rnacentral:sRNA from 1 species
AUUGGCAUGUUGAAGAUUGAAGUCCUCUGUUUAUCCACAGAGCAGGUUCAGCGCAAGCAAUGGCAGUGUAAAUUACACCAAACUGAACUGCCAAUGUGCCUUUAUGCUAAAUUGGCCAUCUCCUAGGAGUUAAAGGGCAGUUCAGUCCUAAUACUCCUUGAAUCCUUGGCCUUU